UAUAAAUUGGAGAAAAUUGUC
rnacentral:piRNA from 1 species